UCAGUCACUGUGGGGACAGGCCUCCCUUCUGGAACAUUCUGUAUGGAGUCAGGAUACAGCCCCUGACCUGAAGGGGUCACGUGAUGUAUUCCCCAAGAUUGGAGGUUAUAGAAAAAGGAAGGAGCUGUGACGUAUGACCUGCCCAUGGAGAGACUCAUGUGACAAAGACCUGAUUGGAGGGUCUUGAUCAACAGACAGAGAGGAAGUGAGGCCCCCCAGACCAACAGCUUACAGAGUCCUGCUCAUAACAUGGAAGUAAGUAGGGAGCAGAUCCUCCCCGGUCAAGACUCAGUUGAGCCCACAACCACAGGGUCCUGAGAACUUGGGGCAGUCACCAGUUGGUGAUCAAUGGAUCGUGGUCUAGCAUGCAGAAGUGAGUGAGUGGAGAAAAGCAGCAGAGCUGGUGGGUUGUGAAGACAUGUGUUUGAAGGCUGCCACACUCUCUACUCCAGGGUAAGACAAAGGCAAUGGCUGCCAUUGUUACUCUGACUUUGCCAAGUCACAGGGACUCUUGUCUCUCCAGCCUCUCGGAGUCAGUGCAAUGGUAUGCCCUGCCUGUGAAAGGUUCCCAAAGUCUCUAUUGAUUCAAGUGAUUGACACUAUGCCAAUCAAUAAUUGUGAACAGGA